CCCUAACCCUACAAAAUUUUACCCAGCCGCACCACCCCUCUGCCACCGCUACAACACCUCCAAACCCACCGGAAAAUUCCUUCCACGUAAGCAAUGUUCCCCUCAUGGUCCCUCCUCAUCAUUAGGAUUUGAUUUUACGUGUUUUCUUCCUAUUUUUCAUCUUUGGAUUUACCUCUUUUAGGUGAAAAUAGGAAAAAGGGGUGCGUACGAUUGAGUUGCACUCGAUCUACUCCCUCCAUUUCUCUUGUGUCACCAAUAGAAGAGAUUUUCCGAUUUUUAUUUUGAGGAUUCUUGGAAAUUCGUCGAGGUUUUUCAUAUUUCUUGGGGAGAAAGUCUAGGGUUUUCGAAGCUGGCCUAUAUAUUGAGGCUUUUGAGGAAAAAAAAUCUAUAAAAGAGUUACUUUCUGUCUUCUUCAUCUUGGAAUUCCGAUUUUUGAGUUUUUUUAAAAAACAUGGGUUUCGCUUGAAGAUCCGAGGUUUGGUUUCGAGUUCGUCGCGGUUUGUUGAACGCAGUUCGGGUAUCCGGUCGCGUUUCGCUGCCUCUGUUUGGGAGUUCCAAUUGAAUAUUCUGUCAUGGACUCAUUCAUUGUACAACUUUGUUCAAUUUAGUUAUUAUAGCUGCUGAAAUUUCAUCAACUAGAAAGCAAUUUAAGGUCCAUCUCUCUUCUCUUAUCUCACUGAUUUUUGGUUGGGUCUGAAUAUGAUUUGAGCCUCAACUAGAAGGGAUUCGGGAAUGCGUAAUUUGUUUAGUUCCUAAUUGAGUAUUAAGAGAAAGUAGUUUGACCAAGAUUUGUGAAACUGAUUUUGAGGAAUCAUUCUUUUACACCGAAAUAUGUGUGAAUUCUUUAGUAUUUUUUUUGAGUUAUUCUAA